GGGGUUGUGGCUCAGUGGUAGAGCACUUGCCUUGUAUGUGAGGCACUGGGUUCAAUUCUCAGCACCACA
rnacentral:tRNA from 1 species